GACGAACGCUGGCGGCGUGCUUAACACAUGCAAGUCGAACGGAAAGGCCCUGCUUUUGUGCGGUGCUCGAGUGGCGAACGGGUGAGUAACACGUGAGUAACCUGCCCUUGACUUUGGGAUAACUUCAGGAAACUGGGGCUAAUACCGGAUAGGAGCUCCUGCUGCAUGGUGGGGGUUGGAAAGUUUCGGCGGUUGGGGAUGGACUCGCGGCUUAUCAGCUUGUUGGUGGGGUAGUGGCUUACCAAGGCUUUGACGGGUAGCCGGCCUGAGAGGGUGCCCGGCCACAUUGGGACUGAGAUACGGCCCAGACUCCUACGGGAGGCAGCAGUGGGGAAUAUUGCACAAUGGGCGGAAGCCUGAUGCAGCAACGCCGCGUGCGGGAUGACGGCCUUCGGGUUGUAAACCGCUUUCGCCUGUGACGAAGCGUGAGUGACGGUAAUGGGUAAAGAAGCACCGGCUAACUACGUG
rnacentral:rRNA from 1 species